rnacentral:rRNA from 1 species
GACGAACGCUGGCGGCGUGCCUAAUACAUGCAAGUCGAGCGAAUCAAUAGGAGCUUGCUCCUGUUGAUUAGCGGCGGACGGGUGAGUAACACGUGGGCAACCUGCCUGUAAGAUCGGAAUAACUUCGGGAAACCGGCGCUAAUACCGGAUAAUCCUUUUCCACAUAUGUGGGAAAGCUGAAAGACGGUUUCGUCUGUCACUUACAGAUGGGCACGCGGCGCAUUAGCUAGUUGGUGGGGUAACGGCUCACCCAGGCGCCGAUGAGUAGCCGACCUGAGAGGGGGAUCGGGCACGCUGGGACUGAGACGCGGCCCAGACUCCUACGGGAGGAAGCAGUAGGGAAUCUUCCGCAAUGGACGAAAGUCUGACGGAGCAACGCCGCGUGAGCGAUGAAGGCCUUCGGGUCGUAAAGCUCUGUUGUUAGGGAAGAACAAGUAUCGGAGUAACUGCCGGUACCUUGACGGUACCUAACCAGAAAGCCACGGCUAACUACGUGCCAGCAGCCGCCGUAA